rnacentral:rRNA from 1 species
GUUAUAUGGUCAAGUGAAGAAGCGCAUACGGUGGAUGCCUUGGCAGUCAGAGGCGAUGAAAGACGUGGUAGCCUGCGAAAAGCUUCGGGGAGUCGGCAAACAGACUUUGAUCCGGAGAUGUCUGAAUGGGGGAACCCACCUAACAUAAGUUAGGUAUCUUAAGCUGAAUACAUAGGCUUAAGAAGCGAACCAGGGGAACUGAAACAUCUAAGUACCCUGAGGAAAAGAAAUCAACCGAGAUUCCCUUAGUAGUGGCGAGCGAACGGGGACCAGCCCUUAAGCUGUAUUGAUGUUAGCGGAACGCUCUGGAAAGUGCGGCCAUAGUGGGUGAUAGCCCUGUACGCGAAAACAUCUUUGCAGUGAAAUCGAGUAGGACGGAGCACGAGAAACUUUGUCUGAAUAUGGGGGGACCAUCCUCCAAGGCUAAAUACUACUGACUGACCGAUAGUGAACUAGUACCGUGAGGGAAAGGCGAAAAGAACCCCGGAGAGGGGAGUGAAAUAGAUCCUGAAACCGUAUGCGUACAAGCAGUGGGAGCCCACUUUGUUGGGUGACUGCGUACCUUUUGUAUAAUGGGUCAGCGACUUAUUUUCAGUGGCAAGCUUAACCGAAUAGGGGAGGCGUAGCGAAAGCGAGUCUUAAUAGGGCGUCUAGUCGCUGGGAAUAGACCCGAAACCGGGCGAUCUAUCCAUGGGCAGGUUGAAGGUUGGGUAACACUAACUGGAGGACCGAACCGACUACCGUUGAAAAGUUAGCGGAUGACCUGUGGAUCGGAGUGAAAGGCUAAUCAAGCUCGGAGAUAGCUGGUUCUCCUCGAAAGCUAUUUAGGUAGCGCCUCAUGUAUCACUGUAGGGGGUAGAGCACUGUUUCGGCUAGGGGGUCAUCCCGACUUACCAAACCGAUGCAAACUCCGAAUACCUACAAGUGCCGAGCAUGGGAGACACACGGCGGGUGCUAACGUCCGUCGUGAAAAGGGAAACAACCCAGACCGUCAGCUAAGGUCCCAAAGUUAUGGUUAAGUGGGAAACGAUGUGGGAAGGCUUAGACAGCUAGGAGGUUGGCUUAGAAGCAGCCACCCUUUAAAGAAAGCGUAAUAGCUCACUAGUCGAGUCGGCCUGCGCGGAAGAUUUAACGGGGCUCAAACCAUACACCGAAGCUACGGGUAUCA